rnacentral:snRNA from 1 species
GGAUGUGAGGGCAAUCUGGCUGUGACAUCUGUCACUCCACCUAUCUCCAGGGUUAUUAGGCUGAUCUAGCUGGCUAGGCACAUGUCCUCUUGCUCCAUCACCAUUUGAUGUACUGCAUGUGCAUCCCUCCUGAAGCUGCCUAAUCAGGAGAAGAGGACAACCUUUCCCAAGAGAAGAGGACCAGUCUGUGGUCAAGGGUAUACACAAGUAGCUGUGCUCCCCUGCUAGAACCUCCAAGCUCUCAUAUGUUUCUGUUUCUCUCCUUUCUCCCAUUAUGUGUACAUUGGUAUCCUAAAUGAUGCCUUACAGAUUCUGUG